AGGAAGUGCGAACUCAGACUGGAA
rnacentral:piRNA from 1 species